AUUGAACGCUGGCGGCAGGCCUAACACAUGCAAGUCGAGCGGAGCGGCGGACGGGUGCGUAAUGCCUAGAAAUCUGCCUGGUCGUGGGGGCUAACGUCCGGAACCGGGCGCUAAUACCGCAUACUCUCAGUUUAGCCUCGGUCGGAUUAGCUAGUUGGUGGGGUAAAGGCCUACCAAGGCCACGAUCCGUAACUGGUCUGAGAGGAUGAUCAGUCACACUGGAACUGAGACAUGGUCCAGACUCCUACGGGAGGCAGCAGUGGGGAAUAUUGGACAAUGGGCGAAAGCCUGAUCCAGCCAUGCCGCGUGUGUGAAGAAGGUCUUCGGAUUGUAAAGCACUUUAAGUUGGGAGGCGUUACCAACAGAAUAAGCACCGGCUAACUUCGUGCCAGCCGCCGCGGUAAUUC
rnacentral:rRNA from 1 species